GUGAGGAAUCUUCCACAAUGGGCGAAAGCCUGAUGGAGCAACGCCGCGUGAAGGAUGAAGGUCUUCGGAUUGUAAACUUCUUUUAUGAGUGAAGAAUAUGACGGUAACUCAUGAAUAAGCACCGGCUAACUACGUGCCAGCAGCCGCGGUCAUACGUAGGGUGCAAGCAUUAUCCGGAGUGACUGGGCGUAAAGAGUUGCGUAGGCGGUUAUGUAAGGGAAUAGUGAAACCUGGUGGCUCAACCACACAGACUAUUAUUCGAACUGCAUAACUCGAGAAUGGUAGAGGUAACUGGAAUUUCUUGUGUAGGAGUGAAAUCCGUAGAUAUAAGAAGGAACACCAAUGGCGUAGGCAGGUUACUGGGCCAUUUCUGACGCUAAGGCACGAAAGCGUGGGGAGCGAACCGGAUUAGAUACCCCUGUAGUCC
rnacentral:rRNA from 1 species